GAUUUAUUGGAGGGCAUCAACAAAGCUCAGCCGGAGCAGCAACAAAGCCAAAGUUCUGCAAUGCAUGGCUGGGAAACGUCUGAACGAGCAAACACCACAUCUGGUCAAAAUAAAGCAGAUUCAGAAAAAUCAACAACAUCAUUUAGCAUUGGAAGCUUUUGGCCCAGCUUUUCACAGAAAACAAAUGUAAAAG